AAGUCGAACGGUAGCACAGAGAGCUUGCUCUCGGGUGACGAGUGGCGGACGGGUGAGUAAUGUCUGGGAAACUGCCUGAUGGAGGGGGAUAACUACUGGAAACGGUAGCUAAUACCGCAUAACGUCGCAAGACCAAAGAGGGGGACCUUCGGGCCUCUUGCCAUCAGAUGUGCCCAGAUGGGAUUAGCUAGUAGGUGGGGUAACGGCUCACCUAGGCGACGAUCCCUAGCUGGUCUGAGAGGAUGACCAGCCACACUGGAACUGAGACACGGUCCAGACUCCUACGGGAGGCAGCAGUGGGGAAUAUUGCACAAUGGGCGCAAGCCUGAUGCAGCCAUGCCGCGUGUAUGAAGAAGGCCUUCGGGUUGUAAAGUACUUUCAGCGGGGAGGAAGGUGUUGCGGUUAAUAACCGCAGCAAUUGACGUUACCCGCAGAAGAAGCACCGGCUAACUCCGUGCCAGCAGCCGCGGUAAUACGGAGGGUGCAAGCGUUAAUCGGAAUUACUGGGCGUAAAGCGCACGCAGGCGGUCUGUCAAGUCGGAUGUGAAAUCCCCGGGCUCAACCUGGGAACUGCAUUCGAAACUGGCAGGCUAGAGUCUUGUAGAGGGGGGUAGAAUUCCAGGUGUAGCGGUGAAAUGCGUAGAGAUCUGGAGGAUACCGGUGGCGAAGGCGGCCCCCUGGACAAAGACUGACGCUCAGGUGCGAAAGCGUGGGGAGCAAACAGG
rnacentral:rRNA from 1 species